rnacentral:lncRNA from 1 species
GCAUCGUCAAGCAUAUUAAAUCAAGUGAAAUAUCUCCCUCAGCAUCAAUAGAAGUUGGCAUUUCUACAGUUGGCUCCCAUAGAAUGAAGAUGUCAUCAAACUUGUAUUCAUCACUUAUCCAGAUUCUUAAAUUUAGUGUUUCUGGAUUUCGAUGAUGUCUGUGUGAAGAGGUCCACUUUGUUCUUGGCUACUACCAUAAAGCAACUUUUUUCUGAGCUCCCUUGGCAAUUCUCUUAUCAUCUUGAAACCAGUUCCAUGAUUUAUUACUUAGCUUAUUCACUAUCAAACCCAGUGACAUUGCCUGAAGUAGAUUCAAAUCCUUAGUCUGUAGUUUGUCAUCCCACUGAUGUAUCUGGUUCUAGGACAGAUCCUGAACAGUGUUGUUACCUUUAUUUUGGGUCCUGGGACAGUAUAAUACCUGGAUUCAUGCAGAAAUUGGCUAUGGAGCAAUAUUUCAGCACUCAUGACAACGGGUAGAGCCCUUGUUUGAACACCACUUUCUAAGGUGAUUAAUAUUUGUUUUGCUGUAGUGGUUGGCCACAAUAUGACAUUUUUGGCAUACUUUUUAAAUUUUUUAUUUAACCAUCUCUCUUUAUUUAUGGAAAUAACCAGC